AUGCGCCACGCGUGCACUGCUGUUCCUGCUCGCCGCCUACACCCACAUGGCGACCGCGCGCGACGUGUUAUUGGUC
rnacentral:sRNA from 1 species